AUGAACGCUGGCGGCGUGCCUAAUACAUGCAAGUCGAGCGAACGGACGAGGAGCUUGCUCCUUUGACGUUAGCGGCGGACGGGUGAGUAACACGUGGAUAACCUACCUAUAAGACUGGGAUAACUUCGGGAAACCGGAGCUAAUACCGGAUAAUAUAUUGAACCGCAUGGUUCAAUAGUGAAAGACGGUUUUGCUGUCACUUAUAGAUGGAUCCGCGCCGCAUUAGCUAGUUGGUAAGGUAACGGCUUACCAAGGCAACGAUGCGUAGCCGACCUGAGAGGGUGAUCGGCCACACUGGAACUGAGACACGGUCCAGACUCCUACGGGAGGCAGCAGUAGGGAAUCUUCCGCAAUGGGCGAAAGCCUGACGGAGCAACGCCGCGUGAGUGAUGAAGGUCUUCGGAUCGUAAAACUCUGUUAUUAGGGAAGAACAAAUGUGUAAGUAACUAUGCACGUCUUGACGGUACCUAAUCAGAAAGCCACGGCUAACUACGUG
rnacentral:rRNA from 1 species